CAAGGCAAGGCAAGUUUAUUUAUAUAGCACAUUUCGUACACAAUGGUAAUUCAAAGUGCUUUACAUAAAAUAAAGUAAAAUAAUAAUGAAGAAAAAUAAUAAGAAUAAAACAAGCAAUUUUAAAACUUUUAAAAUUUUAAAAAAAAUUACUUAUUUAAAAUGAAUUUAAAACAUGCUCAUUCAAUAAAUGCACAGCUAAACAGAUGAGUUUUAAGUCUAGAUUUAAAUGUGACUAGUGUUUUAGCACAUCUGAUCUCUUCUGGAAGCUGAUUCCAACUGCGGGCGGCAUAGUAACUAAAGGAGGACUCCCCUUGUUUUGUGCGAACCCUUGGUAUUUCUAACUGACUCAAUCCUAAUGAUCUGAGU